AUGAGCGGGCCACGACUGCGGGAGGAGGCGGCUGUCCCGCACCGUGCACACCCCCACCGUGCACACACACUUCUCACACCCGUGCUCCUCCCACACACGCACCACACGUCUCACAUACACCAUCUCCCACACCACACACACUCCCACACACCCCCACCACACCCCUGCCACACACACAUGCUGCGCACCCACCAUGCACUCAUCGUGCCCGCACACCACACACGUCGCGCACACGCCACACGCCGCACACACAGCAUAUCCCCCGGGCAUCCCAGCCUUGGUGCCUGUGUGCAUCGGGGGACCACAGGCUCUGCGCAGCCCAAAGCUCGGUGCCAGCUUGGGUCCUGCUGCUGUGGCCUCACACGCUGCUGCCCUACAGGCUGCCUCAGUUUCCCCAUCUGUCAAGCGGGGACCCCACUGGUGACACCUCUCUCCCGGGGCUGCGGCGAACCUUACUGCGGUGCUUCGUGUGAAGAGCUACGGGGAGCACCAAGCACAGGCUCAGUAAAAGCUAAUUAUUAUUAUUUGGCACGGGGCCUAUUAGCUGUUCAAUUAACUUUCCUCGCCUUCCCAGCCCCGAGGACUUGCGAACCCAGGCGGCCGCCGGGCCAGGCGCUGAGCACCCCCUUAGUCAGAAGCCCGAGUGGAGACGGAGAAGUGGCGUGCUCCUCCCUCCCCCCGAGGCAGCAACGUCUCGGCACACACCUGGCGGAGCCCCAGCCCCGGUUGUUGUCGGUGAAGAUGAUCAGAGGCUCAGAGGAGACACCAGCGGCCCUGCCUUGGCCCCCUCCUCUCCUUCCCCCCCACUCCCGUCCCCGUGCUCCCACUGCCCCACUCCCCGUCCCUGGUGGGGCUGGAUGGCUGCUGCUCUGCCCCGGGGGACCCCCCCCAGACCUUGCCUCUGGCUCCUGGGCCCUGCCUCUGGGCCGCCCUCCCGGGCCUCCUCGGGUUAGAGGACUGCACCUGCUUCAGGUGGGGCUGCAUCCAGCCGUCGGGGUGUGGCGGCCCGUGGGAAGCGGCUCCGAGGCUCGGCAGGCCUCUGGGCCCCCCGCUUUGGACUUCAAGCCUCGUCUCUGCCCCUCGUGCUGGAGGCUGGAUGGGGAAUUGGGGUAA
rnacentral:lncRNA from 1 species